CCUUUGGCCACGCCGCCCAAGGCUUUCCUUAACCGCCUCGCCUUCCCCUUUGACCUAGGGUUUCCCAGGACUAUAAAUAUCUCACCUUUCGGCCGGCACCCCAUCAUUCGAAGCAGAAAGCCGAGGAACUUGAGGGACAUCCAUCUACGGAGAGCUGAGGGCCGUGCAGUUGUCUAGAGGCUAGCCUAGGCUAGGCUCUAGCCGGCGGGAUCACCCUGCGAGGAAGAUCACGCCGGAGUUAUGGAGCUAGGAGUCACAAGAAGGCACAAUCAAGCAAGUAGCAGCAACAAGGAACAUCGGAAGCGAAGGCCACAGAACCGGCGGGAUCACCCUGCGAGGAAGAUCACGCUGGAGUUCUGGAGCUAGGAGUCACAAGAAGUUUUUGUUACCAGCCAAGGACUUUGACUGGCCCUACGAGGUCCAUCAAUUGAACACCCAAACCAGCCAAGGACUUUGGCCGCA